ACAGCCGCCGCGGUAAGACAGAGGUGGCAAGCGUUGUUCGGAAUUACUGGGCUUAAAGGGCGCGUAGGUGGUGGCGUAAGUCCGAGGUGGAAUCCUGAGGCUUAACCUUAGAAUUGCCUUGGAAACUGCAUCACUUGAGUCAGACAGGGGAUGGCGGAAUUCCCGGUGUAGCGGUGAAAUGCGUAGAUAUCGGGAGGAAGGCCGGUGGCGAAGGCGGCCAUCUGGGUCUGAACUGACACUGAGGCGCGAAAGCGUGGGUAGCAAACAGGAUUAGAUACCCUGGUAGUCCACGCCCUAAACGGUGGGCACUAGGUGUGGGGCUCGUAAGGGUUCCGUGCCGAAGGGAAACCAUUAAGUGCCCCGCCUGGGGAGUACGGCCGCAAGGUUGAAACUUAAAGGAAUUGGCGGGGGAU
rnacentral:rRNA from 1 species